rnacentral:rRNA from 1 species
UACAGAGGGUGCGAGCGUUAAUCGGAAUUACUGGGCGUAAAGCGUGCGUAGACGGUAGCGUAAGUCAGGUGUGAAAGCCCUGGGCUCAACCCAGGAAGUGCACUUGAAACUGACAGGCUUGAGUAUGGAAGAGGGUCGCGGAAUUCCCGGUGUAGAGGUGAAAUUCGUAGAUAUUCGGAAGAACACCAGUGGCGAAGGCGACUUACUGGACACAUAUUGACGCUGAGGUGCGAAAGCGUGGGGAGCAAACAGG